rnacentral:rRNA from 1 species
AUUGAACGCUGGCGGCAUGCUUUACACAUGCAAGUCGAACGGCAGCGCGGGCUUCGGCCUGGCGGCGAGUGGCGAACGGGUGAGUAAUGCAUCGGAACGUGCCCAGUAGUGGGGGAUAGCCCGGCGAAAGCCGGAUUAAUACCGCAUACGACCUGAGGGUGAAAGCGGGGGACCGAAAGGCCUCGCGCUAUUGGAGCGGCCGAUGUCGGAUUAGCUAGUUGGUGGGGUAAAGGCUUACCAAGGCGACGAUCCGUAGCUGGUCUGAGAGGACGACCAGCCACACUGGGACUGCGACACGGCCCAGACUCCUACGGGAGGCAGCAGUGGGGAAUUUUGGACAAUGGGGGCAACCCUGAUCCAGCCAUGCCGCGUGCGGGAAGAAGGCCUUCGGGUUGUAAACCGCUUUUGUUCGGGAAGAAAUCCUCUGGGCUAAUACCCCGGGGGGAUGACGGUACCGGAAGAAUAAGCACCGGCUAACUACGUG